AUUUCCCCCUCCCGGAGCCCAGGUAUCAUAUACGCCUCCAAAAUAAAGAGCCUUGAAUACUAGAAGAAAAGCACCUAUACCUAAGCAAAC
rnacentral:ncRNA from 1 species